CAGGCGGUAUCAAGUGAGCUGCACCGGUUAAACAAGUGAAAAUGAAAUCUUACUUAAUAAGACGUAAACUGCCUUGAUCCAUAUGGACAGGGACAGAGGG
rfam:[Bacillus] aminovorans strain DSM 1314 DSM1314_contig_8, whole genome shotgun sequence.